CAUGUACCAGUGGGGUCCCUUGGCCUGGCCUGCACCCUCUCGCAAUCUGGGACCCCUUGGGGAAUGUCGGAGAGCCGGUUUCAGCCUGAUCCCACAGGCCAGGCCAAGGGACCCCACUGGUGCACG
rnacentral:pre_miRNA from 1 species